rnacentral:rRNA from 1 species
GACGAACGCUGGCGGCGUGCCUAACACAUGCAAGUCGAACGGAAAGGCCCUGCUUUUGUGGGGUUCUCGAUUGGCGAACGGGUGAGUAACACGUGUGUAACCUGCCCCUGACUUUGUGAUAACUUCAGGAAACUGGGGCUAAUACCGGAUAUGAGCUCCUGCUGCACGGUGGGCGUUGGAAAGUUUCGGCGGUUGGGGAUGGACUCGCUGCUUAUCAGCUUGUUGGUGUGGUAGUGGCUUACCAAGGCUUUGACGGGUAGCCGGCCUGAGAGGGUGACCGGCCACAUUGGGACUGAGAUACGGCCCAGACUGCUACGGGAGGCAGCAGUGGGGAAUAUUACACAGUAGGCGGAAGCCUGAUGCAGCAACGCCGGGUGCGGGAUGACGGCUUUCGGGUUGUAAACCGCUUUCGCCUGUGACGAAGCGUGAGUGACGGUAAUGGGUAAAGAAGCACCGGCUAACUACGUG